GAUGAACGCUAGCGACAGGCCUAACACAUGCAAGUCGAGGGGCAGCACAUGAGUAGCAAUACGAUGGUGGCGACCGGCGCACGGGUGAGUAACACGUAUGCAACCUACCGGUAAAAGGGGGAUAGCCUCUCGAAAGAGAGAUUAAUACCGCAUAAUAUCUUUGGAUGGCAUCAUUUAGAGACUAAACAUUUAUGGUUUACCGAUGGGCAUGCGUAUGAUUAGCUAGUAGGUGAGGUAACGUCUCACCUAGGCAACGAUCAUUAGGGGUUCUGAGAGGAAGGUCCCCCACACUGGUACUGAGACACGGACCAGACUCCUACGGGAGGCAGCAGUGAGGAAUAUUGGUCAAUGGGCGAGAGCCUGAACCAGCCAAGUCGCGUGAAGGAUGAAGGUUCUAUGGAUUGUAAACUUCUUUUGUAAGGGAAUAAAAAGUGGUACGUGUACCAUAUUGUAUGUACUUUACGAAUAAGGAUCGGCUAACUCCGUGCCAGCAGCCGCCGUAACAC
rnacentral:rRNA from 1 species